GCAAGAGUUUAACUUAAAUAUUUUUUCCCCUCAGGAAGAAACGUCCAGAGAGACUCGUCCAUGGACGCGACAAUGCUGGUUCUGGUACUGUGCCAUAAUGAGAAGAAACGUCCAGAGAGACUCAACCAAGGACGCGACAAUGCUGUUUCUGGUACUGUGCCAUAAUGAGUAAGUACUGGGCUUGAUGUUUUGGGCUCUCUUGCACCAGAUUCAUGUUGUAGCCAUCGAUGAUGGCAAACCCCUUGUAUUGUUGUGGGGGAAAGGCUGGUGUUGCUAAAGGGUUUUCAUAUUAAGACUUAGCCUUAAUGCUUUGUUUGGGGUUGUCUUGAGGAUGAAUCUAUCCCGAACCU
ensembl:lncRNA